rnacentral:tRNA from 16 species
CAGAUAGCUGAGUUGUAGAAGUACUACACUUCCACAUUGGAAAUCCCUGGUUCACUUCCCAGUUUGUCC